UUACAGGUUGCCAACUGGUUCCUUAAUUCUCUACUUGCUGGCCAAAUGGGAAGUGCUGGGGAAAAUCAGAGCAAAUGACAAAAGAAAAUAGGAUUCCUGGAAUCUCUGAGGAGUGGAGAAACCAUAGAUUGCAGCUUCGGGCAUGUGCUUACUGCUUUGGAUACCUCAAGGUACCUUUUAGAAGCGAGGGUAAUGCGAGAAACGUGCCUGGUUUCAGCUUCCUGAUGAAAAAGCAGCAGAAGACGAGCCAGGACUGGGAGAACUGGAAGAAACUCCUGGUUCCUGGCUUCUAACCACACAGCUCUAGUUGCUGCAGCCGUUUGCACAGGAAUUGUAGUGGCUGUGACCCUGGAUGAGAGAAGACACUCAUCAGAAAAUGUGCGUGGAGCUGUCUCCUGGUGAAACAGGAUGAUGUGUCUUUGGGGACAGUCUAGGUUAGGUUUCCAGGUCCACUUAGCUACCAAGGUUAUUGUCACAUUACAUAACUGCCCCCCCUGCUCCGAGUCUCACUUUCCUUAUUGUUUUUUAAUCAGAAGGUAUAAUAACACCCACAGGCUUGUUAUGAAGAUUAUAUGAAAU